UCCGGAUCGGUGGUUUCUCUUACAUGGCUC
rnacentral:piRNA from 1 species